GCGAAUGCCGUGCCAGCGGCGGCGGUAAUACGUAGGGGGGGAGCGUUGGCCGGAAUUACUGGGCGUAAAGGGUGCGUAGGCGGCAUAUUAAGUCAGGGGGGAAAUACCCGGGCUCAACCCGGGGGGUGCAUUUGAAACUGAUAAGCUUGAGUGUGAGAGAGGAAAGUGGAAUUCCUAGUGUAGCGGUGAAAUGCGUAGAUAUUAGGAGGAACACCAGUGGCGAAGGCGACUUUCUGGCUCAUAACUGACGCUGAGGCACGAAAGCGUGGGGAGCAAACAGGAUUGGAUACCCUAGUAGUC
rnacentral:rRNA from 1 species